AUUCCAUGAUGAGGGCAUCUUUGUAAUAGUUCAUUAAAUAAUUCUAAUACCUCAUACAAGGAUUCAUCAUCCAUCUAUUGGAAAGUAGUGAUCUAAUUUCGUAGCUU
rfam:Gossypium arboreum cultivar AKA8401 contig_89001_1, whole genome shotgun sequence.